rnacentral:misc_RNA from 1 species
UUUCCGUAGGUGAACCUGCGGAAGGAUCAUUAAUGAGAAUGUGCUCUUCGGGGUAGUCCUCCCACCUUUUGUUUACUCUACCUUUGUUGUUUUUGCAUGCCCGCCCUCGGGCCGCCGGCUCCGGCUGGCCAGCGUCUGCCAGAGGAUUCAAUACUCUUUGUUAUUCUCGCCGUCUCAGUUCUAUACAAAAAUUAAAACUUUCAACAACGGAUCUCUUGGUUCUG